AAUAAGCGGAGGAAAAGAAACCAACAGGGAUUGCCCUAGUAACGGCGAGUGAAGCGGCAACAGCUCAAAUUUGAAAUCUGGCUUCGGCCCGAGUUGUAAUUUGCAGAGGAAGCUUUGGGCGCGGCACCGACUGAGUCCCCUGGAACGGGGCGCCAUAGAGGGUGAGAGCCCCGUAUAGUCGGACGCCUAGCCUGUGUAAAGCUCCUUCGACGAGUCGAGUAGUUUGGGAAUGCUGCUCAAAAUGGGAGGUAAAUUUCUUCUAAAGCUAAAUACCGGCCAGAGACCGAUAGCGCACAAGUAGAGUGAUCGAAAGAUGAAAAGCACUUUGAAAAGAGGGUUAAAUAGCACGUGAAAUUGUUGAAAGGGAAGCGCUUGUGACCAGACUUGCGCCUGGCUGAUCAUCCGGUGUUCUCACCGGUGCACUCUGCCAGGCUCAGGCCAGCAUCGGUUCUCGCGGGGGGAUAAAGGCCUCGGGAACGUAGCUCCUCCGGGAGUGUUAUAGCCCGGGGUGCCAUGCCCUCGCGGGGACCGAGGUUCGCGCAUCUGCAAGGAUGCUGGCGUAAUGGUCAUCAGCGACCCGUCUUGAAACACGGACCAAGGAGUCAAGGUUUUGCGCGAGUGUUUGGGUGUCAAACCCGCACGCGUAAUGAAAGUGAACGUAGGUGAGAGCUUCGGCGCAUCAUCGACCGAUCCUGAUGUUUUCGGAUGGAUUUGAGUAGGAGCGUUAAGCCUUGGACCCGAAAGAUGGUGAACUAUGCUUGGAUAGGGUGAAGCCAGAGGAAACUCUGGUGGAGGCUCGCAGCGGUUCUGACGUGCAAAUCGAUCGUCAAAUCUGAGCAUGGGGGCGAAAGACUAAUCGAACCAUCUA
rnacentral:rRNA from 2 species